rnacentral:tRNA from 1 species
AGCGGAUGACGGGAUUUGAACCCGUGACCCUCACCUUGGCAAGGUGAUGCUCUACCACUGAGCCACAUCCGC